rnacentral:rRNA from 1 species
GACGAACGCUGGCGGCGUGCUUAACACAUGCAAGUCGAACGGAAAGGCCCUGCUUUUGUGGGGUGCUCGAGUGGCGAACGGGUGAGUAACACGUGAGUAACCUGCCCUUGACUUUGGGAUAACUUCAGGAAACUGGGGCUAAUACCGGAUAGGAGCUCCUGCUGCAUGGUGGGGGUUGGAAAGUUUCGGCGGUUGGGGAUGGACUCGCGGCUUAUCAGCUUGUUGGUGGGGUAGUGGCUUACCAAGGCUUUGACGGGUAGCCGGCCUGAGAGGGUGGCCGGCCACAAUGGGACUGAGAUACGGCCCAGACUCCUACGGGAGGCAGUAGUGGGGAAUAUUGCACAAUGGGCGGAAGCCUGAUGCAGCAACGCCGCGUGCGGGAUGACGGCCUUCGGGUUGUAAACCGCUUUCGCCUGUGACGAAGAGUGAGUGACGGUAAUGGGUAAAGAAGCACCGGCUAACUACGUG